rnacentral:rRNA from 1 species
AAUAGAUACCCGGGUAGUCCAUGCCGUAAACGUUGGGAACUAGGUGUGGGUCUCAUUCCACGAGAUCCGUGCCGCAGCUAACGCAUUAAGUUCCCCGCCUGGGGAGUACGGCCGCAAGGCUAAAACUCAAAGGAAUUGACGGGGGCCCGCACAAGCGGCGGAGCAUGCGGAUUAAUUCGAUGCAACGCGAAGAACCUUACCAAGGCUUGACAUACACCGGAAACAUUCAGAGAUGGGUGCCCCGCAAGGUCGGUGUACAGGUGGUGCAUGGUUGUCGUCAGCUCGUGUCGUGAGAUGUUGGGUUAAGUCCCGCAACGAGCGCAACCCUCGUUCUAUGUUGCCAGCACGUGAUGGUGGGGACUCAUAGGAGACUGCCGGGGUCAACUCGGAGGAAGGUGGGGAUGACGUCAAAUCAUCAUGCCCCUUAUGUCUUGGGCUUCACGCAUGCUACAAUGGCCGGUACAAAGGGCUGCGAAACCGUGAGGUGGAGCGAAUCCAAAAAACCGGUCUCAGUUCGGAUUGGGGUCUGCAACUGACCCC